CCUUGCUGUGGAAACUGCAUUCUGCGGGGCUUAUGUUCGUUCUCCUUUCAGUCCCCUCCAGGGCAGGUUACUGAGGCCGUGAAGGUGGCCAUUGACGUCGGGUACCGCCACAUCGACUGUGCCCAUGUGUACCAGAAUGAGAAUGAGGUGGGGGUGGCCAUUCAGGAGAAGCUCAGGGAGCAGGUGGUGAAGCGUGAGGAGCUCUUCAUCGUCAGCAAGCUGUGGUGCACGUACCAUGAGAAGGGCCUGGUGAAAGGAGCCUGCCAGAAGACACUCAGCGACCUGAAGCUGGACUACCUGGACCUCUACCUUAUUCACUGGCCGACUGGCUUUAAGCCUGGGAAGGAAUUUUUCCCACUGGAUGAGUCAGGCAGUGUGGUUCCCAGUGACACCAACAUUCUGGACACGUGGGCGGCCAUGGAAGAGCUGGUGGAUGAAGGGCUGGUGAAAGCUAUUGGCAUCUCCAACUUCAACCAUCUCCAGGUGGAGACGAUCUUAAACAAACCUGGCUUAAAGUAUAAUCCUGCAGUUAACCAGAUUGAGUGCCACCCAUAUCUCACUCAGGAGAAGUUAAUCCAGUACUGCCAGUCCAAAGGCAUCGUGGUGACCGCCUACAGCCCCCUCGGCUCUCCUGACAGGCCCUGGGCCAAGCCCGAGGACCCUUCCCUCCUGGAGGAUCCCAGGAUCAAAGCGAUCGCAGCCAAGCACAAUAAAACUACAGCCCAGGUACAGCCACUUCAGGUGUUCCUGACUGUCCACAACUGCCUUCAUUCCUGAUAGUCCUGUUAGCCAAGAGGAGGAAGUGACUGAGCCUGUUACACCCUCACAGGAAGUAUGGUUAGGGGUCCUCAAGUGC
rnacentral:sRNA from 1 species